UCAGAUUGAAGAUGAAGGUUUGUAUUUAUUUAGAUGUGUAUUAUGUUACAGAUGUAUAAUGUUAUGUUGUUAGUUCUUAAAUAUAUGUUUAUUUUUAGUUGCUGAAUUACUAAGAAAUGAUGACAAUAUUGAAGCAAACGUUGUUGUUAAUAUUGGAACAAGUAAGUUGUAAAGCAAUUUUAAAUUUUUAAAAAGAAAUAAAAAUACUUUUUAAUAUGUAUCUGUUUUCUUCGAGGUAGAUUUAAAAUUUCAGGUUUUUAAAAUCAUAGAUAUUAUAAUAUUAAA